rnacentral:RNase_P_RNA from 1 species
ACGUUUGGGUAAUCGCUGCAACGUAAGUUGUAGAGGAAAGUCCAUGCUCGCACGACCUGAGAUGGUCGUAGUGUUCGUGCCUAGCCAAUAAAUAAGCUAGGGUAGUCUGGUAUCAACUGGGCUAACGGCAGGGAAAGGACCUAAGUCCUCAAUGGAUAUGGUUCGACUACCUUUAAAGUGCCACAGUGACGGAGUCCCGGAAGAAAUGACGGGAGUGGAACGCGGUAAACCCCACGAGCGAGAAACCCAAAUAAUGGUAGGGGCACCUUUUCCAAGGAAAUGAACAAGGGAAAAGGACAGAUGUUAUGCAUCUGUAGAUAGAUGAUUACCACCGGAGUACGAGGUGAACAACCGUUUGGAGUACGAAGGUACAGAACAUGGCUUACAAAA